CUAGCACAACACCUGGAGCUGAGGGGACAAAACAAUGGCAUGAGUGCUGCUGUUUGACUGAGGAAGAAUAAAGUAGUCGUGAGUCCAGAAAGCGCUGAGCAGACAUUUCUCCACACUUGUGUGGUGCCUGGACCUUGCAUGCUUCAGUUGGACCAGCUGCACCUCUUCAGCUUCAUUACCAUCUCAGAUCAACACAGCCCUUCCCUCCAGCACUAUCAGCAGCAGCAGGAGCAACCUCUCAACAGCAACAUUGUACCCCAUGAAGGAAAACAUAGGCUAUGUUUGCUUUGCAUUGUCCCCACCUGAUGACAGUGAUAUAGUAUUAUGCGAUUCCACAUUAGAUUCGUGAUGAAUGCAGGUUGUUGUUAUUCAGCCUGAUUCUAUGUGCCCCUUUUUAACUUUGAGCACCCGUCCCUUCAAACAUGUCUGCACGACCCUGUCAUCUCCAUACUUUGGUCUUCCACAGUAACUGCAAUGCUAUGUCCCAUCAACCAGAGGUUUAAUCCUGGGACUUACACACCAUGCCACCAGCUAUGCACUGCUGCAGAUGGAUGACAUCCAGAAGCUAAUUGUGGCCAUGAUAAACCAGCAUGGAAACAAUCAGUGGCUUAUGUGGAUACAGAGGAACUGCAGACUUACGAAGGGAUGCUCAUCUGAAGUUCUUUCAAAAGAAUAUGUCAUUUAAAGGAAAAAAAUACUACUA
ensembl:lncRNA